UGGGAUUAUAGGUGUAAGCCACCGCGCCCAGCCCCUGUAUUUUUAGAGACGGGGUUUCACUGUGUUAGCCAGGAUGGUCUCGAUCUCCUGACUUCGUGAUCCGCACGCCUCGGCCUCCUAAAGUAUUGGGAUUACAGGCGUAAGCCACCGCGCCUGGCCUUUAUACGUGGGGACCCUUGUCUUUCUGGAGCUGGGCUCUUUGUCUCGUCGCUGGAGAUUGCUGACAGUCGGUGGCUACCGUCUCAAACAUCUCCACGCAGAAGCUGGAGCUGGGGAACCCUGGUCUUGUCCCUCCUGCUUUUUGGGGAAGAUCCUCUGGGAUGUGGUCCCCAACCCCCAAGACAGAAACCUGCCUGUCUCUGAUUCAUUGUUACGUUCACUCUUUGCAUCCAAUCAAUUAUGGGCAUUUUUUUUUCCCCUCUGAGACAGAGUCUCGCUCUGUUGCCCAAGCUGGAGUGUAGUGGUGCGAUCUCAGCUCACUGCAACCUCUGCCUCUCGGGUUCAAGCGAUUCUGCUGCCUCAGCCUCCUGAGUAGCUGGGAUUACAGGCACAUGCCACCCCGCUUGGCUAAUUUUUGUAUUUUUAGUAGAGAUGGGGUUUCACCAUGGUGGCCAGACUGGUCUCGAACACCUGACCUCAAGUGAUCCACCUGCCUCGGCCUCCUAAAGUGCUGGGAUUACAGGUGUGAGCCACUGUGCCCGUGCCCAGUUAGUGGUCUUAACUGAUUCUUUCUCCUAAAUUCCUUUUGACUCCCAGCCUUUCCUGUCCAUCCUCAUGGCCACUGAUUCUGGACCCAGCAGCCACUUCACUGGUCUCCCUGCUUUGUGGCUGUAUCUUAUUUAUUUGUUUAGAAACAGAGUCUGUCUCUGUUGCUCAGGCUGGAGUGCAGUGGGGCCAUCACAGCUCACUGCAGCCUGGAACUCCUGGGCUCAAGUGAUCUUCCCACCUCAGCUUCCCAAUUAGCUGGUACUACAGGUCCAUGCCACCAUGCCUGGCUAACUUUUAAAUGCUUUGUAGAGAUGGGGUAUUGCCAUGUCUCCCAGGCUGGUCUCGAACAUCUGGCCUCAAGUGAUCCUCCCACCUCCGUCUUCCAAACUGUUGGGAUUACAGGCAUGAGCCAUUGUUCCUGGCCCUGUGACUGUACCUUAGAAACAAUCACUAUUGGCCAGGUGUGGUGGCUCACGCCUAUAAUCCCAGCACUUUGGGAGGCUGAGGCGGGCAGAUCACGAGGUCAGGAGAUCGAGACCAUCCUUGCUAACACGGUGAAACCCCAUCUCUACUAAAAAAAUAGAAAAAAAUUAGCCAGGCAUGGUGGCGGGCGCCUGUAGUCCCAGCUACUCGGGAGGCUGAGGCAGGAGAAUGGCAUGAACCUAGGAGGUGGGGCUUGCAGUGAGCCAAGAUCAUGCCACUGCACUCCAUCCUGGGUGACAGAGCGAGACUCUGUCUCAAAAAAAAAAGAAGAGACAAUCACUAUUAUCCUCACAUGACCACCAUCACCAACCAAAGGCAACCAGUGAACGUCUUCACUCUCUCUCCUACCCUUCUCAAAGACAAACAGAAACUGCUGAUAACUCCAAUACCAUCAUGACUAGCCAAUGUCAGACAGGUCCCAUGAGCAAUUCCAGCAUCAGCCUUCCUUACAUUCUCCCACGAUCACCACCACCACCACCACCACGCUAUAAUAACCAACCACCAUCUAGUCAUCGGCCAGGCACAGUGGCUCACACCUGUAAUCUCACACUUUGGGAGGCCAAAGCGGGUGGAUCACUUGAGGUUAGGAGUUGGAGACCAGCCUGGCCAACAUGGCGAAACCCCGUCUCCACUAAAAGCACAAAAAUUAGCUGGGUGUGGUGGCAGGUGCUUGUAAUCUCAGCUACUUGGGAGGCUGAGGCACGAGAAUUGCUUGAAGCCAGGAGGUGGAGGUUGCAGUGAGCCGAGAUUGCACCACUGCACUCCAGCCGGGGUGACAGAGCGAGACUCUGUCUCAGAAACAAAACAAAACAAAAAAACAAUACUAGCCAUCAACAACCACACAUAACCAACUACCAUUAGCAACCACAGAAAGCAGCAGUCACCAGUCCUAUCCUGUUCAAAACCCAACAUUGAACCAGCACCACCAUUGCUGAUCAUCAUCUUACCAGAAACCAACAAUAAACUACCAGCAGCAAAUGAACGCUACUACCAACACCUUUCCUCUCCAAAUAACAGCAACCACCGAUGGUCAUCAUUCCACUGGUCACCAAGCAUCUCCAGAAUUUCCAGCUGAAAACAAUCCACCACCAACGAACAACAUUAAACACCAACCGCCACCACCACCAGCCCACCUGCAAGAGCCAUUAUCACCACGAACCUGCAACAAGAAACAGCCACAACCACCACCACAACCAAUGACACCAACAACCCAGCAAUGACCACUCGCAGCAACUCCUCCCCAAUUACCACAAUCGUCACCUCCGUCCAUCCUCAUUGCUGAAUCCAGAAAUGAAUGGACAUCCCAGCUAAUGGCAGCUACCAUGGAUCAAGUGCAUGUUAUGUGCUCUGUAAAGCAAUGGUCCCCAACAUUUUUGGCACCAGAGACCGGUUUAAUGGAAGACAAUUUUUCCAUGGACCAUGGAGCGGGGCAUUAGAUUUUCUUUUCUUUCUUUUCCUUUAUUUCUUCUUUUUUCCCUUUCUUUCUUUCUUUCUUUCUUUCUUUCUUUCUUUCUUUC
rnacentral:lncRNA from 1 species